CUGCUGCAACAACAACAACAGAGUCUCCAACAACAACGACUACAGAGGCUACAACCACAACUUCAGCUAUCGCAACUACUACUACAGCUGCUCCAACAACCACUACAGAGGCUACAACAACCACUACAGAGGCUACAACAACACCUACAGCUGUCCCAACCACAACAACAGUUGCUGCAACAACAACAACAGAGUCUCCAACAACAACGACUACAGAGGCUACAACCACAACUACAGCUGCCCCAACUACAACAACAGCUGCUGCAACAACUACAGAGUCUCCAACAACAACGACUACAGAAGCUACAACAACAACUACAGCUGUCGCAACUACUACUACAGCUACUCCAACAACCACUACAGAGGCUACAACAACUACAGCUGCCCCAACUACAACUACAGUUGCUGCAACAACAACAACAGAGUCUCCAACAACCACUACAGAGGCUUCAACAACGACUACAGAGGCUACAACAAGAACUACAGCUGCCCCAACUACAACUACAGUUGCUGCAACAACAGAGUCUCCAACAACAACGACACAAGAAGCUACGACCACAACUACAGCUGUCGCAACGACUACUACAGCUGCUCCAACAACCACUACAGAGUCUCUAACAACCACUACAGAGGCUACGACCACAACUACAACUGCCCCAACUACAUCUACAGUUGCUGCAUCAACAACAACAGAGUCUCCAACAACAACGACACAAGAGGCUACAACCACAACUACAGCUGUCGCAACGACUACUAUAGCUGCUCCAACAACUACUACAGAGGCUACAACAACCACUACAGAGGCUACAACCACAACUACAGCUGCCCCAACUACAACUACAGCUGCUGCAACAACUACAGAGUCUCCAACAACAACAACAGAGGCUACAACCACAACUACAGCUGUCGCAACUACUACUAUAGCUGCUCCAACAACCACUACAGAGUCUCCAACAACCACUACAGAGGCUACGACCACAACUACAACUGCCCCAACUACAUCUACAGUUGCUGCAUCAACAACAACAGAGUCUCCAACAACGACUACAGAGGCUACAAACACAACUACAGCUGUCGCAACUACUACUACAGCUGCUUUAACAACUAUAGAGGCUACAACAGCCACUAUAGAGGCUACAACCACAACUAUAGCUGCCCCAACUACAACAACAGCUGCUGCAACAACUACAGAGUCUCCAACAACAACGACAGAGGCUACAACCACAACUACAGUUGCCCCAACUACAACUACUGCCGCUCCAAUAACAACUACAGCUGCCACAACCACAACAACUGAUACACAAACCACAACUACAGUUGCACCAACGACUACAGAGUCUCCAACCACAACUACAGAGGUAUCUACAACAACUACAGCUGCUAUAACCACGACUACAGCUCCUUCCACAAUAACUACAGAGGCCCUUACCAGCAGAACCACAGCUACAUCCCCUGAAACUACAACCCCUGCAUCUACAACCCCUGAAACUACAACCCCUUCAACCACAACCCCUGCAACUACAAUCAUUGCAACUACAACCCCUGCAAGUACAACCACAGCAUCAGCAAUCACUGCAACUACAAUCUCUGCAACUACAGCUAUUCCACUCAGUACGGUGCCUGUGGUAUUCAGGUCCUUAGGGGAGAACUUCACCUCUGACUUAACAAACAUAUCAACCCAGGCCUUUCAAAACCGAGCAUUACUCAUUAAAACUCAGCUUGAACCUUUUUAUCAAUCAGCUUUCGUCUCUUUUUAUAGUUUAACUGUGACACAAUUCAGCUCUGGAUCCAUCAUUAAUCAUAUGGAUUUAGCAUUCUACUCCUCCUCUGUACCUAAUAAUAAAGAGAUUGGAACCAUUUUGAUAAAAGCUGCACAAAACAUCACAGUGUUCAACAUCGACUCCACCUCAGUGACUGUGAACAACACAGAUAUUUUUGCAGCAACUACGUUACCUCCAUCAUCUGCUGUAGUCACCCCUGUGGCAGAUACUACCACUUCAACAACUGGACAACCUCAUACUGUUCUCGUCACGGCUGCUACGACUGGACCCAGAAACACCACCACUACAUUGUUGUCUCCCUCAACAGUAUCAAAUAUAGCAUCAACCCUGGCCACACUAACUACCAGAACAACUCCAACCACCACUACAACCAACCCACAAACAACCUCUCUUACAAUAACUACAGCUGUGUCCAACAUCACAACAGCUUCUGUCAACACAACCAAAGCCGCCAAUACAACAACUACAGCUUCUGUCAACACAACCAAAGCCGCCAAUACAACAACAACUACAGCUUCUGUCAACACAACCAAAGCUGCCAACACAACAACAACUACAGCUUCUGUCAACACAACCAAAGCUGCCAAUACAACAACAACGACCACAGCUUCUGUCAACACAACCAAAGCUGCCAAUACAACAACAACGACCACAGCUUCUGUCAACACAACCAAAGCUGCCAAUACAACAACAACGACCACAGCUUCUGUCAACACAACCAAAGCUGCCAAUACAACAACAACGACCACAGCUUCUGUCAACACAACCAAAGCUGCCAAUACAACAACAAUGAUCACAGCUUCUCCCUCAACAAGCUUGGGUGCUUCAACAGUCUUUCAAGGUACUCCUACAGCAACUAUUUUUCAACCUUUAACUGUGGCUGGUACCACCACUAGAACAACUGGACAACCUGUCACUGUUCCUACGACUGGACCCAGAAACACAACCACUACAUUUGGGUCUCCCUCAACAGCAUCAAAUGCAGCAUCAACACUGGCCACACUAACUACCAGAACAACUCCAACCACCACUACAACCAGCGCACCAACAACUACUAAAACCACAACUGCAACUACUACAACAACUACAACAACUACAGCAACUACUAGGACAACCACCACAACUGCACCUAUUCAACCUGCUCCAGUGGUGGUUUUCAUCAUACAACAACUUUAUGUCCCACAAUUAAGUAACCCUGCGAGUACAGAGUUCCAAACCCUUGCAUUAACUGUUAUUGCAGCGUUUGAUGUGAUCUACAAAACAAAAUACGGAAGCUUCUUCAUUAGGACGAUAGUUCUCGCAUUCACACCUAUUACCCGUUCCCGGAGUGCAGACACGCAGGCUGAGGUGAAGCUGGUGUUUAACCAGACCGCCGCACAACCGGUACCUCAACUUGCUGAAAUUGGGGACACGCUAAAGGCAGCUCUGAACAGUUCCAACAGUACCAUCGGCAACCUCACAGUGGUGUCAGACUCCAUCAAAGUUACAGUACUCACCUCAAAUACAACAACUACUCCUGUCAUUACUUCCGCCAUCACAUCUACAACCCCUGCAACUACAACCACUACAGCUGUUCCACUCAGUAUGGUGCCUGUGGUAUUCAGGUCCUUAGGGGAGAUCUUCACCUCUGACCUAUCAAACUCAUCAACUCAGGCCUUUCAAAACCGAGCAUUACUCAUUAAAACUCAGCUUGAACCUUUUUAUCGAUCGGCUUUCAUCUCUUUUAAUAGUUUGACUGUGACAAAAUUCAGCUCUGGAUCCAUCAUAAAUACUAUGAAUUUAGCAUUCCUCUCCUCCUCGGUCCCUAAUAACACAGCGAUUGGCAACGUUUUGAUAAAUGCAGCUCGAAACAUCACAGCUUUCAACAUCGACCCCACCUCAGUGACAGUCAAUGGCACAGCUAACUCAGGUGUGGGCAGCAAGGCAAGUCUCUUCACAGCGUCCUGUCUGGUGGUUCUGUCAAUGCUCCUAUCAAGACAACAGUGAUCUCAGAGGCAGUCUCCUGAAAAAGCUCUCUCACUCACCGGAAAGUAGCAGAAUGAAAGAGUGUUGGUGGUCAAAAGUGUACGUGGGGGAAGAAUUUCCCACCCAUUCCCACCCUAAUUCCAUGAAAGAAUACAAUAAAGAACACAGAUGAAUGUGUUAUAAGCUGGAAUUAGAUGCAUAUGAGAGUUGAACACAAUUAGAUACUAUUUUAUAAUUACAACCUAAUAGUAUAUGUUGAAUAUACUACAUCAGAAGUAAAUAUUAUUUCCGUGCAAUGAACAAAACAAUUUUUUUUAGUUAAUAUAUAAUUGAGAUUAUUGGUUUUUCACAUGGCUGCUUUAAUAAAACAUACAUUAUUUGAGAGCAAUAUAGAGAAAUAUAUAUGAUUCAUGUUUUUACUUCAUGAGUUUGUUAUUUUAUUUGUGUGUGUGUGUGUGAUGAGAUGUCUCAGAUGUGUCUCAGGCCUCUAAACAUUUUAUCCGAAUAGAUCAUUGUAUGUAAGCCACGGUCAAUAUUAUCUUAGUAAUAAUGUUUGAGUAGGCCGCUCUUAGUAACAAUGUUUGAGUAAGCCACUGUUAGUAAUAAUGUAUGAGUAGGAACCGGUUAAUAUUAUCUUAAUAAUAAUGUAUAUGUAGGUCACUGUUAAUAUUUUCUUAGUAAUAAUGUACAUGUAGGCCACUGUAAAUAUUAUGAAAGUGAUACUCUAUAUGUAGGCCACUGUUAACAUUAUCAUUGUAAUAAUGUAU
ensembl:lncRNA